rfam:Ictidomys tridecemlineatus contig022016, whole genome shotgun sequence.
GGGGAUAUAGCUCUGUAGGUAGAGUGCUUGCCUCACGUGCACAAGGCCCUGGGUUCAAUUCCCAGCACCACCA